AUCGACGAAACUCUCUUUUUCUCCUUGUUUCUCAGAAAAUCCAAAUAGUUAUCUCAUAUCAAAACUUCAAUAAGGCUAUUCAUUGUCUGUUGUUUGCAAUGAACCUCGCCGGCCAAGCUCUCUCUCUCUCUCUCUCUCUCUCUCUCUCUCUCUGAUUUUGUUUUGAUUUUCCUUUGGCCUUUUCAUAUUCUGCUGAGAUUUGAUCGAUAUGUUGUUUGUGGUGUUGAAAUCUGAUAAAAUAGAGUUCUUUGAUCAAAAUUCUGAGUUUAUACUUUUCAUAUUCUUGCAGAGAAAUCAGAUCUGUGUUUGCUUGUGUAGAAUAUGUGCUAUCUGUUUCUGUUUGGGUUUGAGAAGAGUGAUUAAUCUGUUUAUGUUUAUGAUUGAUCUUAUUUCAACUGGUUCUGUUAAGGAGAAAGUUGUUACCUUUUUUACAGUAUGUUGUACAAAGAUUGAAUCUUAAUCUAUGUGAAUGUGUUACUCUCCGCCUACUUGAAUGAAGUAUUAGUCUCUGAUUCCUCUUGUUCUUACCGUUCAAAAAAAAAAAAACUAAAGUGGAUGCUUUUAUCUACAGGUGCUUCCUGCAAUUUUGUUUGUGAAGGCUAAUAAGGCGGAGUUUCUGAGACUGUGAGGUUUCAGAGGUUUGCUAGUGCUGAUCUAUCUGAACGUUUUAGGAAGAAGAAAUUGAAGUCGCUUAUCCCUCAGAUCGUUCAAGUUAUUUAUCUCGGAUCUUUGUCCGUGUUCUCAGUUGGAGCUGUGACACUUGCAGGCUCUUAUUUAAGCUCAGGUGCGAUUGUGUCAUUUAUGACAUCAUUAGCUUUCUUGAUCGAGCCUGUCCAUGCAUAUACAAAUCUACCUUUGCUUAGUUCAGUAUACUUAAGAAUCUAAAGAAGGUUUAUACAUAACUAUCUCUCUCUUUUACUUUCACUUGUAUGCUACUAACUCUAUGGUAUAUAGCCCCAAAAGUUCUUCCACGGUUUGCCUUUACUUCUUGUAUAUAGAUGUACGCAAUGAAGGCACCUUUGUGCUCCACACUGAAAAUAGUAAGAAAACAAUGGAGGCGGCAGUGGUAGUGAGCAGAGGAGGCGACUGCAGUAACUAGCAAAAAUUGCUUCUCAACACUUGAUUGCAGAGAUGUAAGGGCUGGACCUUGAAGACUGUCGUGAAAAAGAGCCUCUUGGUCAUGGGUUCUAUGCAGACUUCACUAUGGCAACAAGGAUAACAAUGCCAGACUUCAUCACCGAGUGUGUUGUUGUAUUUUGCUUUGAGUUCAUGUGUUUCGUGAAUUGAUUUUGUAUGUUUUGAAUCUUUAAUGGAAAAGCAUAUUGUAUUUUAUGAUU